rnacentral:rRNA from 1 species
AGUCGAACGGAUCCUUCGGGAUUAGUGGCAGACGGGUGAGUAACGCGUGGGAAGCUACCUUGUGGUAGGGGACAACAGUUGGAAACGACUGCUAAUACCCUAUGAGCCCUAUGGGGGAAAGAUUUAUCGCCAUGAGAUGUGCCCGCGUUAGAUUAGCUAGUUGGUAAGGUAAUGGCUUACCAAGGCGACGAUCUAUAGCUGGUCUGAGAGGAUGAUCAGCCACACUGGGACUGAGACACGGCCCAGACUCCUACGGGAGGCAGCAGUGGGGAAUAUUGGACAAUGGGGGCAACCCUGAUCCAGCCAUGCCGCGUGUGUGAUGACGGCCUUAGGGUUGUAAAGCACUUUCAGCAGUGAAGAUAAUGACAUUAACUGCAGAAGAAGCCCCGGCUAACUUCGUGCCAGCAGCCGCGGUAAUACGAAGGGGGCUAGCGUUGUUCGGAAUCACUGGGCGUAAAGAGUACGUAGGCGGACUGAUAAGUUAGGGGUGAAAUCCCAAGGCUCAACCUUGGAACUGCCUUUGAUACUGUCAGUCUUGAGAUCGAGAGAGGUGAGUG